AAUUCGAUGCAACGCGAAGAACUACCUGGUCUUGACAUCCCGGAGACCCUUAGGAAACUAGGGGUGCUUCCAUCUGGAAGAAUCUGGAGACAGGUGCUGCAUGGCUGUCGUCAGCUCGUGUCGUGAGAUGUUGGGUUAAGUCCCGCAACGAGCGCAACCCUUGCCUUUAGUUGCCAGCAGUUCGGCUGGGCACUCUAAAGGGACUGCCGGUGUUAAACCGGAGGAAGGUGGGGAUGACGUCAAGUCCUCAUGGCCUUUAUGACCAGGGCUACACACGUACUACAAUGGCCGAUACAAAGGGCAGCGACACUGCGAGGUGAAGCCAAUCCCGUAAAAUCGGUCUCAGUCCGGAUUGGAGUCUGCAACUCGACUCCAUGAAGUUGGAAUCGCUAGUAAUCGUGGAUCAGCAUGCCACGGUGAAUACGUUCCCGGGCCUU
rnacentral:rRNA from 1 species